rnacentral:rRNA from 1 species
GAUGAACGCUGGCGGCGUGCCUAAUACAUGCAAGUCGAGCGAAUGGAUUAAGAGCUUGCUCUUAUGAAGUUAGCGGCGGACGGGUGAGUAACACGUGGGUAACCUGCUCAUAAGACUGGGAUAGCUCCGGGAAACCGGGGCUAAUACCGGAUAACAUUUUGAACCGCAUGGUUCGAAAUUGAAAGGCGGCUUCGGCUGUCACUUAUGGAUGGAACCGCGUCGCAUUAGCUAGUUGGUGAGGUAACGGCUCACCAAGGCAACGAUGCGUAGCCGACCUGAGAGGGUGAGCGGCCACACUGGGACUGAGACACGGCCAAGACUCCUACGGGAGGCAGCAGUAGGGAAUCUUCCGCAAUGGACGAAAGUCUGACGGAGCAACGCCGCGUGAGUGAUGAAGGCUUUCGGGUCGUAAAACUCUGUUGUUAGGGAAGAACAAGUGCUAGUUGAAUAAGCUGGCACCUUGACGGUACCUAACCAGAAAGCCACGGCUAACUACGUGCCAGCAGCCGCCGUAA